CAGUAGCGCGGUAAUACGAGGGGUGCAAGCGUUAUUCGGAUUGAUUGGGUGUAAAGGGUGUGCAGACGGCUUAUUAAGUCACUUGUUAAAUUCUUCGGCCUAACUGAAGGUCUGCAAGUGAUACUGAUGAGCUAGAGGGUGGAAGAGAGAAGUGGAAUUCUCGGAGUAGCGGUAAAAUGCGUAGAUCUCGAGAGGAACACCAAUGGCGAAGGCAGCUUCUUGGUCCAUUCCUGACGUUCAUACACGAAAGCGUGGGGAGCAAACGGGAUUAGAUACCCCAGUAGUCCCUGUCUCUUAUACA
rnacentral:rRNA from 1 species